rnacentral:misc_RNA from 1 species
AAAUACAUAUAAUAAUUUUAUGUACAGAAAUAUGAAAUACAGGGACAAAUUUUCUUUAAAAUUAUUAUUAAUCCUUUGCACUCGGAGCUAUUUGGGACGUUACCUACCAACUCGGCGCUACUUUGUCGCGAAAAUGUGAACUUAGAAAUCGUCAUAUUAUAUAGUAUAGCUUUGGCACCAAGUAAUGUAUUGUAAUGAUAUUUGAUUUAUAUGAAUUUUUAGGCAUUGAGGAACAUAUCUUUUGCAAAAAAAUAAAAAUU